rnacentral:rRNA from 1 species
GACGAACGCUGGCGGCGUGCCUAACACAUGCAAGUCGAACGCUGAAGCAGGAGCUUGCUCUUCUGGAUGAGUUGCGAACGGGUGAGUAACGCGUAGGUAACCUGCCUGGCAGUGGGGGAUAACUUUUGGAAACGAUAGCUAAUACCGCAUAAGAGUAGAUGUUGCAUGACAUUUACUGAAAAGGUGCAAUUGCAUCGCUACCAGAUGGACCUGCGUUGUUUUAGCAUGUUGGUGGGGUAACGGCGUACCAAGGCGACGAUACAUAGCCGACCUGAGAGGGGGAGCGGCCACCCUUGGACUGGGACACGGCCCCGGCCCCUACCGGGAGGAGCAGUAGGGGAACAUCGGCAAUGGAGGGAAGUCUGACCGCACCACUCCGGGGUAGGGGAGAAGGUUUUCGGGUUGGUAAGCUCUGUUUUAUGGGAAAAACGAGUAUGAGGGUGAAACGUUCACGCUGUGACGGUACCUUACCAAAAAGCAACGGCUAACUACGUG